rnacentral:rRNA from 1 species
GACGUAGGGGGCCAGCGUUGUUCGGAAUUACUGGGUGUAAAGGGUUCGUAGGCGGUGCGGCAAGUUGGGAGUGAAAUCUCUGGGCUUAACCCAGAGGCUGCUUCCAAAACUGCUGUGCUUGAGUGUGGGAGAGGCGCGUGGAAUUGCAGGUGUAGCGGUGAAAUGCGCAGAUAUCAGGAGGAACACCCGUGGCGAAAGCGGCUCUCUGGGACGGUACUGACGCUGAGACGCGAAAGCGUGGGGAGCAAACAGG